rnacentral:lncRNA from 1 species
UCACUGUGGACCCUGGUGGCAAAGUAAUCAAGAGGCGUGUGGGGCCUCAGAGAGGCUCAAGUACACCGUACACCGUUGUUCUUAAUCCUCCCACCUCUGUAAUGAUGGUGUUGUUUUCCCUCUUUGUUUAAUGAGGAGGACCCAAGAUUCCCUCGGUCUAGAGCUCAGCUUCUUUGGCUAAGUGAAGACUGCUCCCUUUCAGGCUAUAGUGUAAGCCUUUGAGACGUCAUAAUGUUUCCUGUGUUUUAUAACACGGAGCCCUUGCUACCCAAUCACACAUCAUCUCUCAUAAGUUACCAUCUAAAGCAAGUGGAAACACACCAGGGUAUAGACUGCACCACUGAAUCUUCUUCGAGUAACUAGGACUUUAGUUCCACAUUUAAAUCAGUUGUAUUUCCCAUCUGAUACCAUGGUAGUACCAAAGAGCUCAACCUUAAAGGCCCAGUCUUGAUAACAGCUUUGCUGUGGUCAAGUGAAUGGCUUAUUUUGCUAAGGCUCAUUUCUUUUUUCUUUUUUUUCAAAAAAAAUUUUAUUAGAUAUUUUCAUUUACAUUUCAAAUGCUAUCCUGAAAGUCCCUUAUACCCUCCCCUGCCCUGUUCCCCAACCCACCCACUCCUGCUGCCUGGCCAUGGCAUUCUCCUAUACUGGGGCAUAUGAUCUUCUCAAGACCAGGGCCUCUCCUCCCAUUGAUGGCCAACUAUGCCAUCCUCUGCUACAUAUGCAACUAGAGACAUAAGGCUCAUUUUUAAUCUAUAUCAGGAACUAAGCCACCAGCAGGUCACUGCUGAUCCAUGAAACCCCUUUAUAUUCUCAAAAUCACUGAGAAGUACAAGAGCCUUUCUUUUAUAGAAGUUUUAUCUAUUGAUAAUUGCCCAAACUGAAUUUUAAAACUAUUAAUAUAUUAAUUUAUUUAAAAAUAACCACAGGGGUAUGGAUAUAACUCAGCAGUAGAGUGCUGACCUAGCAUGCAUAAAGCCCUGGGUUCAAUCCCCAACACCACAAAAAUAUAAUAAAGAUAACAAGCCACUGUCUUCUUAUAAAUAAUAUUACAUAAUCAUUCUAUUAAAAAUCAUUUUCCCCAAAAACCUUAGGAGAGUGAUAUUUUUUGUCCUUGUUUUAUUGUGUAUUUUAAGUCCUCCCUUUUGUCUGGCUUAUAUGUAGUUGAUUUAUGUGUAUCAUCUGCAUCUCACGCUCAGCCUGCUGUGAUUGGUUGUUUUGGUUUGAAGCCUGCUGUGAUUGGUUGUUUUGGGUUGAAGCCUGCUGUGAUUGACUGUUUUGGGUUGAAGCCUGCUGUGAUUGGUUGUUUUGGGUUGAAGCCUGCUGUUAUUGGUUGUUUUGGGUUGAAGCAUAAUUUUCUAAAUGACAACAUAAGUGACUAUCCUAUUCACUUCCUUGGAUGUAAAAUUUAAUCUCUUUAUUACUUCACUAAACGUUAUGGCUGCUGCUGACAAGAUGGCUCAGUGAGUAACAUGAUUGCCAUUCAAGCCUGAGGACAUGAGUUGGGGUUCCUAGAGCCCACUUAAAUCUGGGUGCAGUAGUACACAUCUGGAAAGCUGCCACGUGGACAACUGGAUGGGAGAUGGCAACAGGAGAGUCCUCUAGUCUGGCUAUGUAGCCAGUGCACAGGGACCCUGUCUCAAAACUGGCUGGAAGGCGAGAACCGAGACCCGAGGGUUUCUUCUGACUAUAAAUGCACACCUAUUCUGGGACAUACAUGUACCCACACAUGUACUCUCAUAAUGCAGAGGCAUCAUACACUCCU